UCCUGGUGGAGAGCAGGGAUGCCUCAUGAUGGGGAUAACGAGGAUAACGACACUUCUGGAAGGGACGUUUCUCCCCCAUGUGCAGCUGGGUGGUGGCCGAUGCCAUGGCCCCUGGCAGGCUGCUGUGGCCUCCUGGGCUCCAUAAGGUGGGCUGCAGCCCUUCUGUGACCAAGGCGUGUGCUGGCCAUGCUGUGUGGCUGUGUGCCCCCCUGCACAUGCCCUGCCCCGCUGUCCCGAGAUGCUGGCGAGGGCGAGGGUGUUCGCACAGAGCAAAGCAUGCCUUACUGAAGAAGCCUCCAGAAGCCUGUGACCAGGUCAAAGUGGCUGGGUGCGGGCUGGCCUUGUCCAGCCCCCUGGGGGUCUCUGCUGUCUCUUCUACUUGCCAGGUGCCAGGGCUGGGCCUCUGGGGCAUCCCCAGGACCCCCAGCCCCCGGCCAGGCUGGGAGGGCUGGGAGCAGCUUUCCUCUGGAGGGCAGCGGACUUCCACUUCCGUCUGCCUCUUGGGGCCUCCUGGGCUGGGCGAAUCAGAAAGCAGGUCACCAGGGACUGUCCCCCUGUGGGAGGACUGGCGGGACUGUGGAGUUAAGCAGAACCCAUCAGGAAGUGCACAGGCGUCCGGCGUGCUCCUCCCUCCCUGCAGCCCCGGGCAGCAGCUCCCAGAGGCUCCGCGGCCCAGGCUCCUGGUGCGUCUGCAGUGCAGCCUGCCUGCUGAGGCCAUGUCGGACUACGAGAAUGAUGACGAGUGCUGGAGCGCCCUGGAGGGCUUCCGGGUGACGCUUACCUCGGUCAUCGACCCCUCGCGCAUCACACCCUACCUGCGGCAGUGCAAGGUCCUGAACCCCGAUGAUGAGGAGCAGGUGCUCAGCGACCCCAACCUGGUCAUCCGCAAACGGAAAGUGGGUGUGCUCCUGGACAUCCUGCAGCGGACCGGCCACAAGGGCUACGUGGCCUUCCUCGAGAGCCUGGAGCUCUACUACCCGCAGCUGUACAAGAAGGUCACGGGCAAGGAGCCGGCCCGCGUCUUCUCCAUGAUCAUCGACGCAUCCGGGGAGUCAGGCCUGACUCAGCUGCUGAUGACUGAGGUCAUGAAGCUGCAGAAGAAGGUGCAGGACCUGACCGCGCUGCUGAGCUCCAAGGAUGACUUCAUCAAGGAGCUGCGGGUGAAGGACAGCCUGCUGCGCAAGCACCAGGAGCGCGUGCAGAGGCUCAAGGAGGAGUGCGAGGCCGGCAGCCGCGAGCUCAAGCGCUGCAAGGAGGAGAACUACGACCUGGCCAUGCGCCUGGCGCACCAGAGUGAGGAGAAGGGUGCCGCGCUCAUGCGGAACCGUGACCUGCAGCUGGAGAUUGACCGGCUCAAGCACAGCCUCAUGAAGGCCGAGGAUGACUGCAAGGUGGAGCGCAAGCACACGCUGAAGCUCAGGCACGCCAUGGAGCAGCGGCCCAGCCAGGAGCUGCUGUGGGAGCUGCAGCAGGAGAAGGCCCUGCUCCAGGCCCGGGUGCAGGAGCUGGAGGCCUCCGUCCAGGAGGGGAAGCUGGACAGGAGCAGCCCCUACAUCCAGGUACUGGAGGAGGACUGGCGGCAGGCGCUGCGGGACCACCAGGAGCAGGCCAACACCAUCUUCUCCCUGCGCAAGGACCUCCGCCAGGGCGAGGCCCGACGCCUCCGGUGCAUGGAGGAGAAGGAGAUGUUCGAGCUGCAGUGCCUGGCACUACGUAAGGACUCCAAGAUGUACAAGGACCGCAUCGAGGCCAUCCUGCUGCAGAUGGAGGAGGUCGCCAUUGAGCGGGACCAGAGCACACAAACGGAGGGGCUGUGACCAGCCUCCGCGCCCAGCGGCUUGACGUCCUCCGGAGCCUCUGCUAGGAGUUGGGCGGCCGGGCCGAGGGCCCAGGGCGAGCUUGGGGCCCUCACUGAGGGUCGGCCUUGUGCUGUCCCGUCAGGCCAUAGCCACGCGGGAGGAGCUACACGCGCAGCACGCCCGGGGCCUGCAGGAGAAGGACGCGCUGCGCAAGCAGGUGCGGGAGCUGGGCGAGAAGGCGGAUGAGCUGCAGCUGCAGGUGUUCCAGUGUGAGGCGCAGCUACUGGCCGUGGAGGGCAGGCUCAGGCGGCAGCAGCUGGAGACGCUCGUCCUGAGCUCCGACCUGGAAGAUGGCUCACCCAGGAGCUCCCAGGAGCUCUCACUCCCCCAGGACCUGGAGGACACCCAGCUCUCAGACAAAGGACGCAGGCCUGAGCAGCGGGGAGCCGCCCGAGAAGGAGCGGCGGCGCCUCAAAGAGAGUUUCGAGAACUACCGCAGGAAGCGCGCCCUCAGGAAGAUGCAGAAAGGAUGGCGGCAGGGGGAGGAGGACCGGGAGAACACCACGGGCAGCGACAACACCGACACUGAGGGCUCCUAGCCGCAGCAGCGCAGGCCCCGACCAGGGCACACCCACCGGCCCGGCCUCCUGCCACCCGGGGGUGCCGACGCCCUGGGGCGCAGACUUCCCCGAGCCGUCGCUGACAGCCUGGAACGAGGAAUCUGGUGCCCUGAAAGGCCCAGCCGGACUGCCGGGCAUUGGGGCUGUUUGUUAAGCGGCACUCAGCUUGCGGAGGCCAUGCGGGUGCUCGCCACCCCCAUGCACACGCCAUCUGUGUAACUUCAGGGUCUGUUCUGUUUCACCAUGUAACACACAAUACAUGCAUGCAUUGUAUUACUGUUAGAAAACACAGCUGCGUAAAUAAACAAACAGCAGGGGUGACUCGCA